rnacentral:tRNA from 1 species
GGGCCGUUAGCUCAACUGGUAGAGCAGGAGCCUCUUAAGCUCAAGGUUGAAGGUUCGAGUCCUUCACGGCCCA